rnacentral:rRNA from 1 species
AGCGAACGCUGGCGGCAGGCCUAAUACAUGCAAGUCGAGCGGCCCUUCGGGGCAGCGGCGGACGGGUGAGUAACGCGUGGGAAUGUGCCCUUUGGUACGGAACAACUGAGGGAAACUUCAGCUAAUACCGUAUGUGCCCUUCGGGGGAAAGGACUUAUUGCCAUUGGAGCAGCCCGCGUUGGAUUAGGUAGUUGGUGGGGUAAAGGCUACCAAGCUACGAUCCAUAGCUGGUCUGAGAGGAUGACCAGCCACACUGGGACUGAGACACGGCCCAGACUCCUACGGGAGGCAGCAGUAGGGAAUCUUGCGCAAUGGGCGAAAGCCUGACGCAGCCAUGCCGCGUGAAUGAUGAAGGUCUUAGGAUUGUAAAUUCUUUCACCGGGAAGAUAAUGACGGUACCCGGAGAAGAAGCCCCGGCUAACUUCGUGCCAGCCGCCGCAGUAAG